ensembl:lncRNA
CAGGUCAAGAAGCAACAGAUACUGGACAUGGAACAACUGACGGUUUACGCGCCAAGAACUGAUGCUUUCGAACUGUGCUGCUGGAGAAGACUCUUGAGAGUCCCUUGGACUAGAAGGAGAUGAACCUAGUCAAUCCUAAAGGAAACCAACCCUGAAUAUCCAUUGGAAGGACUGUUGCCAAAGCUGAAACACCAGUACUUUGGCCACCUGAUGAGCUGACUCACUGAAAAAAAACUCUAAUUCUGGGAAGGGGCUUCCCUUGUAGCUCAGUUGGUAAAGAGUCUGCCUGCGGUGCAGGAGACCCGGGUUCGAUCCCUGGGUUGGGCUGAUCCCCUGGAGAAGGAAAUGGCGACCCACUCCAGUAUCCUUGCCUGGAAAAAUCUCAUGGACAGAGGAGCCUGGUGGGCUGCAGUCCAUGGGGUGGCAAAGAGUUGGGCACAACUGAGUGGCUAACACUAAUCCUGGGAAAGGCUGAAGGCAAAAGGAGAAGGGGGCAGCAGAGGAUGAGAUGGUUAGGUAAUAACAUCACUGAUUCAGUGAACAUUAAUUUGUGCAAACGCCAAGGGAUAAUAGAGGACAGAGGAGCCUGGCUUACUGCAGUCCUUGGGGUCCCAGAGUCAGACACAACUUAGCAACUGAACAACACCAACAUCCUCCCAGCCCACCCCCCUCGCUCUGGAGUAAGGAAUGGGAGGUAGGCUAGGAGGCCUCCGUAAAAUAUGGCUCCUGCCUCUUGAUGCCAGAGUGGGCCUGCUUUUGGCCCUCAAACCAAGGAAAAUGCGAAUAACCCUCUGUACAGUGUCUAAAGCAGCUGGCAGAAGAAUGAGGCAGGGCACAGGAGUCUUCCAGACAUCGCUCAACUCUACCCAGUGCCCGUAUCUCACCUUUGCUAGCCCAGGAUUCCUGGUCAUCCUCUGAGGCCAGUUCAGACCUUGCCUCCCCAUGGAGCACACCCCACCUCAGGCCAAGGGCCAGUCACUCCUCAUUCUGCCAUCUCAGGGUGGCAGAACCAUGCCUGACAUGCGGUCACUGAGGGCCCAGAAGACCCCAUGAAUACCUCCCAGAAGGUGGACUCUGUCAUCAGCCACCUGGCUCCCCCUCAUAGGGAGGCCAUAGCAGUCACUCUCCAUGGGGCCACCAACCUUCCCGCCUGCAAGGAUGGCUCUGCACCAUGGCCCUACGUGGUAGUAUAAAUAGCUAGCUGGUUGAGAGCAGGGUCAGGGAUGGUGUGCAAGCUGGAGCAGAAACCAGCGUGUGGAUAUUUGGGAUAUGAGUACCCAAAGGUUCAGGGCAGGGACUGUGACACCCAGAGAGGAAAGAAGGCCGAGUGUGAACCACCCAGGGACUGUGGGCUCUGCAGAGGUCUCAUAUCUUCCCUGCUGUGUGGGAAGCUGCUCACCAUGGCUGGGGAGGAGGGAAGAGCCACUCCUUGAUCUCACAACCACCAGGGUUUGGCCACAAAUCGACCUCAGCAAGGCAGGGCCCCCAGAUGCAGAGACCUGGGCUGGACUCAGUGGGAGGUGAUGGUCAAAGGAAGGAGAAAGCCUAAGGCCUACCUCUCCCGGCCUCUGAGUGCUCCGUCUUACCAUGCCCAGUCCUGGGGUAAGGGCCCCAUGACCACCCUCCUCCUCGGUCCCCAUCACUGCUUUGCAUACGUGUAUGGUGCUCAGUCAUGUCUGACUCUUUGCAACCUCUUGAUCCUAUGGACUAUAGCCUGCCAGACUCCUCUAUCAAUGGCAUUCUCCAGGCAAGAAUACUGGAGUGGGUUGCCAUUUCUUACUCCAGGGGAUCUUCCUGACUCAGGGAUCGAAGUUGUGUCUCUUGUGAUUCCUGAAUUGGCAGGCAGAUUCUUCACCACCAGCGCCACCUUCUUUGGUCAUUUCUAUUAUGAGGCUUCCCUGGUUCCUUCUGAUCCCUUAAUGCAUGAUCCCUCCCCUCCAACCAGCUGGAGUCAGGAAGCAUACUUCUUGCAGCCUGGUAUCUGAGUGAGACCUGGUAUGUCAUGUACACUGCAUGCUUCCUGGACCUCACUUCUGCUGGAAGGGCAUCAAGGGGCGACAGAGUCUCCAUCCAACCAAACUUCUAUAUGGAUGAGGGGAGGGUAACAUCUGCUCAGUCUUGAUUAUAAAGCAUGUGCAGUAACCCCUCCAUGAACUUGCUAUCCCUUAGCUCCUCUGUAGACUAUGGGAGCCCUUAGGCCUCCCCACCAGGCUACCUACCCCUCCCCUCCUGCAGGCUUUGCCCACCUUUCCUUUGGGGGAGUGCCUACCCCAGCUGAAAUCCACCUUCAGAGCCUGGUUUGUGCCCCUCCCCCUCAGGGCACCCAUCCUAGCUGAGCUGUCCCUGCUUUGGGACCCACAGCAGCAGCAACACUGGUCUGACAUACUUUAUAUAAACAAAAUUAGGUGCUGCUCCUCUGUCCCCCACACUGGGGUUUCCAAGGACAGACCCCCUCUCCCCCUCUCCAUUUC